rnacentral:misc_RNA from 1 species
GAUGAAGAACGUAGCGAAAUGCGAUAAGUAGUGUGAAUUGCAGAAUUCAGUGAAUCAUCGAAUCUUUGAACGCACAUUGCGCCCCUUGGUAUUCCAUGGGGCAUGCCUGUUCGAGCGUCAUUUCACCACUCAAGCCUCGCUUGGUAUUGGGCAACGCGGUCCGCCGCGUGCCUCAAAUCGACCGGCUGGGUCUUCUGUCCCCUAAGCGUUGUGGAAACUAUUCGCUAAAGGGUGUUCGGGAGGCUACGCCGUAAAACAACCCCAUUUCUAAGGUUGACCUCGGAUCAGGUAGGGAUACCCGCUGAACUUAAGCAUAUCAAUAAGCGGAGGA